rnacentral:misc_RNA from 1 species
GGGCCUUGGUAUCUUUCACUCUGGUGUUGAAGUACAUGGUGUAGAAUAUGCAUUUGGAGCUCAUGACUAUUCAAGCAGUGGUGUCUUUGAAGUUGAACCACGACAAUGCCCGGGGUUCAAGUUUAGGAAGUCCAUAUUCAUUGGGGUUACAAAGUUGGAUCCCUGUCAGGUUAGAGAGUUUAUCGAACGUCAAGCUGCUAGCUAUAAUGGUGACACAUAUCAUUUGAUUUCGAAGAACUGCAACCAUUUUUGCAACGAUACAUGCUACAAGCUCACCGGGAAAAAGAUUCCAAAGUGGGUAAACCGAC